GGCUCAGUAACACGUGGACAACUUACCCUUGGGACGGGGAUAACCCCUGGGAAACCGGGGCUAAUACCGGAUAGAGCAUCGGUUGCUGGAAUGCACGAUGUUCGAAAGCUGAGGCGCCCAAGGAUAGGUCUGCGGCCGAUUAGGUUGUUGUUGAUGUAACGGAUCAACAAGCCUACGAUCGGUACGGGUUGUGAGAGCAAUAGCCCGGAGAUGGGUUCUGAGAGAAGAACCCAGGUCCUACGGGACGCAUCAGGCGCGAAAACUUUACAAUGUGCGAAAGCACGAUAAGGGAACUCUGAGUGCCUCCUAAGGAGGCUGUUCAAGUGUCUAAAAAGCACCUGAAGGAAGGGCUGGGUAAGACCGGUGCCAGCCGCCGCGGUAACACCGGCAGCCCAAGUGGUAGCCAUGCUUAUUGGGUCUAAAGCGUCCGUAGCCGGCCGGGUAAGUUCCUUGGGAAAUUUGACCGCUUAACGGUCAAGCUUUCAGGGAAUACUGCUUGGCUUGGGACCGGGAGAGGUCAGAGGUACUCCAAGGGUAGGGGUGAAAUCCAUUAAUCCUUGGGGGACCACCGGUAGCGAAGGCGUCUGACCAGACCGGGUCCGACGGUGAGGGACGAAGGCUAGGGUCGCGAACCGGAUUAGAUACCCGGGUAGUCCUAGCUGUAAACGAUGCGGGCCAGGUGUUGGCAUUACUGCGAGUGAUGCCAGUGCCGAAGGGAAGCCGUUAAGCCCGCCAUCUGGGGAGUACGGUCGCAAGGCUGAAACUUAAAGGAAUUGGCGGGGGAGCAC
rnacentral:rRNA from 1 species